rnacentral:rRNA from 1 species
AGAGUUUGAUCCUGGCUCAGAUUGAACGCUGGCGGCAGGCCUAACACAUGCAAGUCGAGCGGUAACAGGGGAAGCUUGCUUCUCGCUGACGAGCGGCGGACGGGUGAGUAAUGUAUGGGGAUCUGCCCGAUAGAGGGGGAUAACUACUGGAAACGGUAGCUAAUACCGCAUAAUCUCUAAGGAGCAAAGCAGGGGAACUUCGGUCCUUGCGCUAUCGGAUGAACCCAUAUGGGAUUAGCUAGUUGGUGAGGUAACGGCUCACCAAGACCAUGAUGCAUAGCCGACCUGAGAGGGUGAUCGGCCACACUGGGACUGAGACACGGUCCAGACUCCUACGGGAGGCAGCAGUGGGGAAUAUUGCACAAUGGGCGCAAGCCUGAUGCAGCCAUGCCGCGUGUAUGAAGAAGGCCUUCGGGUUGUAAAGUACUUUCAGCGGGGAGGAAGGCGUUGAGGUUAAUAACCUCAACGAUUGACGUUACCCGCAGAAGAAGCACCGGCUAACUACGUGCCAGCAGCCGCGGUAAUAC